rnacentral:rRNA from 1 species
UUAAGCGACUAAGCGUACACGGUGGAUGCCCUGGCAGUCAGAGGCGAUGAAGGACGUGCUAAUCUGCGAAAAGCGUCGGUAAGGUGAUAUGAACCGUUACAGCCGGCGAUGUCCGAAUGGGGAAACCCAGUGUGAUUCGUCACACUAUCGUUAACUGAAUACAUAGGUUAACGAGGCGAACCGGGGGAACUGAAACAUCUAAGUACCCCGAGGAAAAGAAAUCAACCGAGAUUCCCCCAGUAGCGGCGAGCGAACGGGGAGCAGCCCAGAGUCUGAAUCAGCUUGUGUGUUAGUGGAACGGUCUGGAAAGUCCGACGGUACAGGGUGAUAGUCCCGUACACCAAAAUGCACAGGUUGUGAACUCGAAGAGUAGGGCGGGACACGUGGUAUCCUGUCUGAAUAUGGGGGGACCAUCCUCCAAGGCUAAAUACUCCUGACUGACCGAUAGUGAACCAGUACCGUGAGGGAAAGGCGAAAAGAACCCCGGCGAGGGGAGUGAAAAAGAACCUGAAACCGUGUACGUACAAGCAGUGGGAGCACCUUUAUGGUGUGACUGCGUACCUUUUGUAUAAUGGGUCAGCGACUUAUAUUCUGUAGCAAGGUUAACCGUAUAGGGGAGCCGCAGGGAAACCGAGUCUUAACUGGGCGUUAAGUUGCAGGGUAUAGACCCGAAACCCGGUGAUCUAGCCAUGGGCAGGUUGAAGGUUGGGUAACACUAACUGGAGGACCGAACCGACUAAUGUUGAAAAAUUAGCGGAUGACUUGUGGCUGGGGGUGAAAGGCCAAUCAAACCGGGAGAUAGCUGGUUCUCCCCGAAAGCUAUUUAGGUAGCGCCUCGUGAACUCAUCUUCGGGGGUAGAGCACUGUUUCGGCUAGGGGGUCAUCCCGACUUACCAACCCGAUGCAAACUACGAAUACCGAAGAAUGUUAUCACGGGAGACACACGGCGGGUGCUAACGUCCGUCGUGAAGAGGGAAACAACCCAGACCGCCAGCUAAGGUCCCAAAGUCAUGGUUAAGUGGGAAACGAUGUGGGAAGGCACAGACAGCCAGGAUGUUGGCUUAGAAGCAGCCAUCAUUUAAAGAAAGCGUAAUAGCUCACUGGUCGAGUCGGCCUGCGCGGAAGAUGUAACGGGGCUAAACCAUGCACCGAAGCUGCGGCAGCGACACUAUGUGUUGUUGGGUAGGGGAGCGUUCUGUAAGCCUGCGAAGGUGACCUGUGAGGGUUGCUGGAGGUAUCAGAAGUGCGAAUGCUGACAUAAGUAACGAUAAAGCGGGUGAAAAGCCCGCUCGCCGGAAGACCAAGGGUUCCUGUCCAACGUUAAUCGGGGCAGGCUGAGUCGACCCCUAAGGCGAGGCCGAAAGGCGUAGUCGAUGGGAAACAGGUUAAUAUUCCUGUACUUGGUGUUACUGCGAAGGGGGGACGGAGAAGGCUAUGUUAGCCGGGCGACGGUUGUCCCGGUUUAAGCAUGUAGGCUGGUUAUCCAGGCAAAUCCGGAUAAUCAAGGCUGAGGUGUGAUGACGAGGCACUACGGUGCUGAAGUAACAAAUGCCCUGCUUCCAGGAAAAGCCUCUAAGCAUCAGGUAACAUCAAAUCGUACCCCAAACCGACACAGGUGGUCAGGUAGAGAAUACCAAGGCGCUUGAGAGAACUCGGGUGAAGGAACUAGGCAAAAUGGUGCCGUAACUUCGGGAGAAGGCACGCUGGUGUGUAGGUGAAGUCCCUGCGGAUGGAGCUGAGACCAGUCGAAGAUACCAGCUGGCUGCAACUGUUUAUUAAAAACACAGCACUGUGCAAACACGAAAGUGGACGUAUACGGUGUGACGCCUGCCCGGUGCCGGAAGGUUAAUUGAUGGGGUUAUCCGUAAGGAGAAGCUCUUGAUCGAAGCCCCGGUAAACGGCGGCCGUAACUAUAACGGUCCUAAGGUAGCGAAAUUCCUUGUCGGGUAAGUUCCGACCUGCACGAAUGGCGUAAUGAUGGCCAGGCUGUCUCCACCCGAGACUCAGUGAAAUUGAACUCGCUGUGAAGAUGCAGUGUACCCGCGGCAAGACGGAAAGACCCCGUGAACCUUUACUAUAGCUUGACACUGAACAUUGAGCCUUGAUGUGUAGGAUAGGUGGGAGGCUUUGAAGCGUGGACGCCAGUCUGCGUGGAGCCAACCUUGAAAUACCACCCUUUAAUGUUUGAUGUUCUAACGUUGGCCCCUGACCGGGGUUGCGGACAGUGUCUGGUGGGUAGUUUGACUGGGGCGGUCUCCUCCCAAAGCGUAACGGAGGAGCACGAAGGUUAGCUAAUCCUGGUCGGACAUCAGGAGGUUAGUGCAAUGGCAUAAGCUAGCUUGACUGCGAGCGUGACGGCGCGAGCAGGUGCGAAAGCAGGUCAUAGUGAUCCGGUGGUUCUGAAUGGAAGGGCCAUCGCUCAACGGAUAAAAGGUACUCCGGGGAUAACAGGCUGAUACCGCCCAAGAGUUCAUAUCGACGGCGGUGUUUGGCACCUCGAUGUCGGCUCAUCACAUCCUGGGGCUGAAGUAGGUCCCAAGGGUAUGGCUGUUCGCCAUUUAAAGUGGUACGCGAGCUGGGUUUAGAACGUCGUGAGACAGUUCGGUCCCUAUCUGCCGUGGGCGCUGGAGAAUUGAGGGGGGCUGCUCCUAGUACGAGAGGACCGGAGUGGACGCAUCACUGGUGUUCGGGUUGUCAUGCCAAUGGCACUGCCCGGUAGCUAAAUGCGGAAGAGAUAAGUGCUGAAAGCAUCUAAGCACGAAACUUGCCCCGAGAUGAGUUCUCCCUGAGACUUUAAGUCUCCUGAAGGAACGUUAAAGACGAUGACGUUGAUAGGCCGGGUGUGUAAGCGCAGCGAUGCGUUGAGCUAACCGGUACUAAUGAACCGUGAGGCUUAACCU